GAUGCAACCAGAGGCUCUGAGUUCCUUCUCCAACGAAACAAAAGCCAAAAAAUAAACAAAAUAAAAUCAAAUGACAUAAAAAUGCUGCAGUCAACAACCUGCCAGUCUGGCCUUAUUGUGCCAUAGGUUAGAUAGCAUGUUCUGUCACUCAGGACCCAGGGCACAGCCUGAAUCUCUGUCCAAUCAGCGACCCUGGCCUGAGAACUGCCCAAUCAGGCCUUCAGCCGGAGAGGAGGGGGCGGGCUUUCCCAUCGCAGAGGCCUUCAUCUCCGGAGCUGUCCGGUCUGGGAUCGAUAGUGAUAGUCUGGCACCCGCUCCUUUGCUCUAGAACCCCUGGGGGCUGUAAUGCAGCCCUUUUGCUCCGUGACCUGCAGAAGCUGGGAGAUCCCUAGAGAGACACUCCAGAAGCCAAGACAUGGGUUGGGGGAGACAGCAGGAGUGAAUCAAACAGGAUUCACAGGCUGAUGAUCUUGCACGUCCAGGUGUGUUGUGUUGACUCACCUGCACAUCCAAUGGAAAGAAUAUCGAAGUAAAGGAAAGAACAUGCUGCAAGCAUCCCAUCCACAAAAGCACUACCUUCUAUAGCUGUCUUCUCAGCAGGCUCACAGUCCACCUCAAACUCAUCAUACAUGAACUGCCGAGUCAAAGAAGACUUGCCCACCCUAUUGUGCCCACCAUGAUGACUUUGCUCCAGGCCAGACAAUUCUAACCCUUAGGCUUUUUGUGGCUGUCUUGUGUCACUGAGUUUUCACCAGAGGAUUAAGAAGACAUGGCACUGCUGGCCGGUUCACUGCCCCGUGUGUUUCCAAAGCCACAGCUGAGAAAAUCCACUUAAAGGAAGAAAUUUUGGGCUCAUGCUUUCAGAGAUUUGAGUUGGCUCUGGAGAGACAGCACAUCACUGUGAAAGUGCAUAUUGGUGAACAACUGCUCACCUCGUGGCAGCCAGAACGCAAAGGGAACACAAAGGAUUGUGACAAAAUAAACACCUGAAGCCGUGCCGCCAGUAUCUAUUCCUUCCAACUAUGCUCCAUUUCCUAAAGUUCCACCACCUGACAAUAGCCCAUAUAAGUAUGAAUCCAGUCUGGAAAAUCUGGUCAGAGCCCUUGUGACACAAUCACCAGCCGAAGACCCCAGCUCCCAGCAGUGUUGCUCCAACACAUGACAUUUGAGGUUGUACUAGGAAUCAAGCCCUCAAGAAAGCUGAUCACAAAGAAGAAACUCACACAAAAGUGGGUAAUGCACAAAUAUCAAUAUAAAAAGAAGAAGGUGAUAAAAUAAGGCAACAUGACUCUUCCACAGGUGACUAAUUCAUAAGUAACAAUACAAAGAUAUCCAAAUGGAUAAAAAGGUGGACAAAAAUCAAAGAAUUAUUUUUAAAUGACCAAUAACUUUAAGGAGGGUUUAAAUAAACAGUUGAAUGAAUUAGGGAAGCUUAUGCAGGAGAUGGAGACACAAUUCAAUAAAAAGAUAGAGGUUCUAAAGAAGAGGAAAACAAAAAUCUUGGAAAUGAAAAGCUCACAAUCAAAUAAAAAACUAAAUGAGAUGCAAGCAAAGGACAGAAUUUCAGGGCUUAAGGAUAAAAGUGAUGAAUUAUCACAUCCAGAUACUAGUAAAGAAAAAAUAACAAGUUAUUAACAAAGCACCCAAAACCCUGGGACGUGGUUAAAAGACUGAAAUGAGGAAGGUGUUGAAGUUCACACUAAGUUCGUUGAACAGAAAAUCUAUUUCAAUGAAAUACUACAAAGUUCCCAAAUGUUGGAAAAGAUACUGACAUCCAUAUGUAGUAGGCAUUUAGAACCACAAAGAAGCAUGGCCAUAAAAUAAUUUCCACAAGUCACAUUAUUGUUAAAAUGCCAAGCAUAUAGAGCAGGUUAAGAAUAUUGAAAGGUGAAAGAGAGAAACUUAAAGUCACAUAUAGGGGCAGACCCAUUAGAAUAAUUGAAGACUUAUCUCCAGAAAGUAUAAAGGUCAGAAGAUCAUGAAAUGAUGUACUUCAAGCCUUGAAAGAAAGUAUCUACUAACAUAGAUUAUUAAAUUCAGCAGAUUUAUCUUUCAAGUUGAAGGAAAAAUAAAGAAUUUCCAUGAGAAUCAUAAACAAAAGAAAUUAAUGACCACUAAAACAUCAUUGCAGUAUAAACUUAAAGGAAUCCUACAUACUAAAGUGGAAAAGACAUCAGCUAUUGAGAAGAACGUCAAGCACUACAAUAAUAUAAUGAAAUAACUACUGCAUAUCUUUCAAUAAUAACUCUGAAUCUAAAUGGCCUUAUUUCUCCUAAAAGAAGUGGACUUGCAGCCUGGAUUAAAAGCAAGACUCAACUCUUUUUUGCCUUCAAGAAACACACCUCACUAAGAAAGAUAUGUAAAGUAAAAUCAAAAGGAAAGAAAACAAAGUUUUAUGAAAAUGGAAUCUGAAAAUAAGAGGAGUAGUUUUACUCAUAUAAAACAAAGGAGAAUUUAAGACAAAAUUAUUUAGAAGAGAAAAAGAAGGCCACAAUAUAUUGGUAAAAAAAUAAUCCACCGAGAAAAAUAGAAAACAUAUACACAUUGCAUAUUGGUGCAUCCAACUUAGUAAAUCAAAAUAUUUGAUGGAAAGGGACACAGCACCCAAUACAAUAAUAGUGGGUGACUAUAAAACUCAACUCUUGACAAGACAGGUCAACCAGACAAAAAACUAGCAAAGAAUCAUGAAUUGAACUGCACCUUAGACUGAACAGGAAUAUAAGGAAUAUUUCAUCCAACAACUAGAGAAAACACAAUUUUUAUAGGCACAUGAGUUGUUCCCCAAAAGACACCAUAUUUUAGUGUAUAGAGAAACUGUUAACAAAUCUAAAAUGUUUUAAAAAUUCUUAUAUCUUAUCCUAUCAUGAUAGAAUGAAACUGGAAAUUAACAGCAAGAGAAGCUACAGGAAUUGCACAAACACAUGGAGAUUGAAGGGUCUCUAUUUUUGAACAAUCAGUUGGUCAUUGAAGAAAUCAAUGGAGAAGUUUAAAAAUGCCUAGAAUCAAAUGACAAUGCAACCAAAUAACAAAUACAACCAGCAAUAACAAAAUAACAGUACAACCAACAAGAAUCUCUAGGCUAUAAAGGGAAUAAAAGGGAAAUUUCUACCUUUGAAUGGCUACAUCAAAUAAUCAGAAAGAUCUGAAAUAACUUAAUGAUGCAUCCCAAGGUCUUGGAAAGAAAGAACUAUCCAAAAUCAACCCCAACAAAAGGAAAAAAUUAGUAAAGUCAGGGAUAAAGUUGAUAUAAUGAAUACAAAAUGAACAGUACAAAGGAUAAAUGAGACAAAGUUACUUCUUUAAAAAGAUAAACAAUAUUCAAAAUCCUUUAUUUAAACUAACCAAUUAAAAGAAAAGACCAAAUCAAUACAAUCAAAUAAGAACAGGGGGAUUUAAAAAAAAAACACCACUGAAAAUCAGAGAAUCAAUAGGGAUAAUUUUGAAAAUUUAUGGAGAAUCUAGAAGAAUGAGGUAAAUUUCCACACAUAUACAAUCUACCAAAAUUAAAAUAAGAAUAUAUAAAACACUUAAACAGGUCAAUAGCAAGUCAGAAGGUUGAAGAAGUAAUAAAAAGUCUCCAAUAAAGAAUCUUAAGACCAGGCAAAUUCAGUGCUGAAUUUUAUCACACUUUUAAAGAAAUAUUACCACCAAUGCUUCCCAAAUCAUUUUAUAAAAUAUAAAGAGAAGGAAUGCUUCCAAACUCAUUCUAUAAGGCCAAUGUCACCAAGACCAGAAAAAGACACAAGAAAAAACAAUAUUAGUGAUUAAAUGUAGAUGUAAAAAGCCUUAAUAGAUUACUUGUAAACAGAAUUCAGCAAUCCAUUAAAAAGAUCUACUUGGUCUAUUUUCAGAGAUUCAAGAAUAGUUCAACAUAUGCAAAUUAAUAAAUGUUUUGCAUAACAUAAAGAGAAUCAAGGAUAAAAAUCACAUGAUCAUUUUUUUGAGGCAGAAAAAACUUCAACAAAGUUCAAUAUCCCUUCAAUGACAAAAGCCCUGAAAAUCUAGAUCUUGAAGCAGUAUACCUUAAUAUGGUAAAGGUUAUACAAAAAAUGUACAAGCAUCAUACUGUAUGUAUAAAACUGACAGCAUUUUCUCUAAAAUCAGUAAUGAGACACAAAUGUCCACUGUCUCCCCUCUUAUUCAAUGUAUUACUUGAAAUUUUAGUCAUAUCAGUUAGGCAAGAAAAAGAAAUAAAAUGGGCACGAAUAGGAGAGGAAUGAGGCAAAUUAUCUUUAGUUGCUGAUAAUACGAUUCUAUACUUAAAAGAUACUAAAUACUCCAUCAAAAGAAUUUCCAAACUGAUAAAUUCAGGAAAGUAGUAGGAUAUAGAAUCAAUAAUAGAAGAUAGAUUGCUUUUGUGUACACCAAUAAUAAACACAUUGAGAAAAUAAUCAGUAAAUACAAUUCCAUUCACAAAUGCUUCACAAAACACCUACAAAUCAACCUAACUACAAAGAUGAGAGACAUCUGCAAUAAAAAUUUAAGAAUUCAGAAUAAAAGAAUUGAAAAGAACACUGGAUGAUGGAAAGAUCUCCCAUAUCCAUGAAUCAGAAGAAUUAAUAUUAACAUGGCCAUAUCAGAAACAAUGAUCUACAGAAUCAAUGUAGUUCACAUCAGAAUUCUGAUGGCAUCCUUCACAGAACAACAAAAAUCCCAAAAUUCAGUAAAAACACAAAAGACCCAAAAUAGCCAAAUAAAUCAUAAACAAAAAAGAGAAAAGUUGGAGGCAUCACAAUUUCUGAUUUCAAAUUAUACUUCAAAGUCAUACUAACAAAACAUCAUGGUACUUGAACCAAAAAACGACAUGUACAUUAAUGGAAUAGAAUAGAGGAUACAGAAACAAACUCAUGCAACUACAGCCAUCUGAUUCUUGACAUGAGUCAACAUCAUACUCUGCCUCUUUAGCAAAUUCUCCUGGGAAAACUGGACAUUCACAAGGCAAGACUGAAACUAGGUCUGCAUCUAAAUGUAUCAAAGACCUAAGUAGAAGACCUGAAACUUUCAAGUUGCUAAAGAAAAUAUAGGAGAACUUCUUGAAGUCCUAGGCACAGGCAAAAAUGUCCUGAAUAGGACUUCAACAGCACAGAAAAUAUGAUCAAGAAUCAACAAAUGAGACUACAUCAAGUUUAUGGUUCUACACAGCAAAAGAAACAGUCAACAGAGUGAAGAGACAUUUUACAGAAUAGGAGAAAAUCUUGGCCAGCUAUUCUUUUGACAGAUGAUAAAUAUCUACAAUGUAUAAGGAACUAAAGAGUUUAACAUAAAAGGAAGAAAAAGGAAAGGAGAAGGAAAAGGAAGAGGAGGAAGAAAAGAGGGAGGGGAAAUAGCUUGAUAAAUAAAUGAAUUAAAAGUCACUUCUCAGAAGAAGCACAAAUGGACAAUGAGUAUAUAAAAAUUUGUUGAACAUUUUUAGCCAUUAGUCAAAUGCAAAACAAAAAAUUACAUUGGAAUUCCAUCUCACCCAAGUUAGAAUGGUUAUCCUCAAGAGUACAAAAAACAAUAAAUACUGAAAGGAUAUGGAGGGAAAGAGCUCUUCUAAUAUGCUGAUGGGAAUGUAAAUUAGUCAAACCACUAUGGGAAAUCAAUGUGCUCCUAAAAGAAUAUAACUAACAUAUGACUACAUUCUUUGGUACAUAUCUGAAAGUGUUAAAAAGUCAGCAUAUUAUAAAGAUACUUACAUACCCAUAUUUAUUGAAGCACAAUUCACAAUAGCCAAGACAAGGAACCAGCCUAGAUUUCCAUUAAUGGGUGAAUGGAAAAAGAAAGUGUGAUAUGUACACACAAAGGAGUACUGUUCAACUGUGGUGAAGAACAUAUUAUGUUAUUUUCAGGAAAAUGAAUAGAAACAGAGAUAAUCAUAUCAAAUGAAAUAAGCCAGACGCAGAAAUACAAGUGUCGUAUUUUCCCUAACAUAUGAAUCUAAAAUAAAAAUGGCAUGAAAGUAGAAGUGAGAUUAUUAGACAAGGGGAAGGGAAUAAAGCAAAGUUUGGAAGACAUAAGGAAGUUAAUAGAGGAGAUGGAUAUUAUCAAAAUGUGUUAGAUCCGUGAAUGAAAACACCACAUCAAAACCUAAUAUGUGUAAAAUUAAUAGAUACUAAUAAAAUAUAUUUUAAUACUGGAAAAAACUAAUAUCUAGAAUAUAUAAAAAAUUCAAAGAUUAGCCCCCCACCAAAACAACCCAUUCAAACUAUGGACAAGUAAAAUGAAUAGACACUUCUCAAAAGAGGAAAUACGAAUGGCCAAUACUUACAUGGAAAAAUGUUCAGCACCUUUGGCCAUUAAAGAAAUGCAAAUGAAAACAACCCUGAGAUUCUAUCUUACUCAAGUCAGAAUGGCUAUCAUCAAGAACAUAAAAACCAACAAAUAUUGACAAAGAUGUGAGAAAAAAGGAUACUGUUGGUGGGAAUGCAUUCUUAAAAAAAAAAAAAAACCAACCCUAGACCUAAAAGUAUUAUUCCAUUUGACCCAGGUAUACCUCUCCUGGGUGUAUUCCCAAAAGCGUUAAAGUCAUUGUACUUAUAUAUAGAGAUACCUAUGUAUCUAUGUUUAUAGAAGUUCAAUUCACAAUAUAGCUAAACUAUGGAAAUAGCCUGGAUUUCUUAUAAACACACAAGUGAAUAAAGAAAAUGUAGUAUAUAUAUGUGGAGCUUCUCAUCACACUCAGUGGGUUAAUGUUUGCUCGGGUUGACGGGGGGUGGGGUGGGGGGAUGGGUGCUACUAACUCCAAAGAGCCAGAACAUCUUGAAGUUGGGAUGUUUUCCCAACUCCAGCAGAAAUGGGCCUUGUAGGGAAAACAAGGAAGCUCCCUUGGGGACAAUCAGAUAAAAGUUAAUAAUUCACCCAAAUGGUCACUAUGCCUUGCUAACCUAAAACAAACCUCUGCACUGAGCAGAAGGCUAUGCCUUUGUUGUUCCUCGAUCAAUCUGGACCUUGAGUCAAUUUGGGGCUUCAUUUCAGUGAAGUUCCCUGACCCUCCAUAAAGAUAUUCUCUGUCUCUCAUGUGUUUCAUUUGUCUCUCUGUCAGAGUUUGCUGCCCUGAACCUGGCAUAUAUACAAAAUGGAAUUUUACUCAGCCAUAAAGAAAAAUGAAUUCAUGUCAUUUGUUGGAAAGUGGAUGGAAUUUGAAAUUAUAUUAAGUGAAAUAAAUCAGACAUAGAAGGUUAACUAUCACAUGGCUUCUCUUCUAUGAGAAACUCUAACUCUAAGAGUGAAAUAAAGGAGAGAUGGUAGGCAGCUUGGAGGCAGACUCCUUGGAGAUGGGAAAAGGGAUUCGAGGAAAGGAGAAAUGCAAGGAGAAAGGAAAAGGGAAUCAAAACUGAUCAAGAAAUUCCCCCAAACAAAUGUUAAUUAUUAUGUAUCACAGGCAUAUCCAAAUAAAACUAUGUGUAUUUAAAUGGGGAAUAUUGUGAAUUACUGGAGUCUUAAGAGUCUUGAUCUGCUUUGUGUUUUGAACCCCUGUCAGUAUAGGGCCAACAGAGGGCAUUCUGAAUGACAGAUCUUUAGGAAACACUGUUUUCACACAUUUUCAAUACCCCUCCACAUACUGUCCAUAAAAGGUAAAUUUGAAGAAUUUUAAGAAAUCUUUAAAAUGCAAUAUUGGACACUUAAGUAACCUAAAAUUUCCCAUGGAGGCACACACUAUGGACAAUGAACCUUUUAAGAAUAAUAUUCAAAUUCAUUAUUCUUACAUUCUUCUCUACAGUGUUCUUAAUGGAACAUUGUAGAAUAUUUGUAAGAAACUUUAUAUACUGAUUUGGAAAUUGAAGUAAACUUAAGGGUGUAAGGCUGGCAUUAAGUUUCAUUCCACUGAAAAACUAUGGAUGAUGAAUUUUUUUCAGUACCAGGGAUUGAACUCUGAACCUUGAGCUUGCGAGGCAGGUGGCUGAACCACUGAGCUAAAUCCCAAUGAUUAAUUUUUUUAAGAACCAUGAUCUGAUCCAUAUUUUCCAUUCCCUUAUGCAUAGUGCCCAUAAAGUUCCUAUGUCCAUAGUAAUGAGAAACCUUUGCUAAGAAGUUAGAAACUGACAUAAUCUAAAGUUUCUCAAGGUAACAUGGCUGAAAUUCAUAGAAAUUACACUGUGGAUGAUGGAUACUAAGAAUCAUGUUGUGAUACAUUAUUUCUACACACUUCUGUUAUAGUGCCUAUGAAGGGUAAAUCAUGCAGUAUAAGAAACAGUUGCAUGCCAUGCUACUUUUGGAGAAGAA
rnacentral:lncRNA from 1 species